GACAAAUUCCCCAUGCUAUUCUCAUGAUAGUGAGUAAGUUCUCACAAGAGCUGAUGGUUUUAUAAGGGGUUUCCCCCUUUGCUCAGUUCUCAUUCUUCUCCUUCUUGCUGCCCUGUGAAGAAGGAAGCAUUUUCUUCCCCUUCCACCACAACUAGGGGAAUUUAAACACAGCAGAUUAUCUGAUUCGUUUGUAUGAACAACUUGGAUUGAAGGGCUGUUGGAGGAUGUGCUGCAUACAAAGCAAAGAGCUGGGGGAAAUGACACCUGACAGAGGGCAGACAGAGCAGCAGCCGAUCAUCUAACCCAGCUGCGAGUGCCGGACCCCGGGUGGGGGCAGGGAGGCGGGGGGAUGACGCAGGAGGACAAGUGGAGGUGUGAGGAAUCAUUAUAAUAAUAAAGCGGGCAAACACGUUUCUACAGUGGGCCAGGUGGCAGGCACUGUUCUGAGCACUUUAUAUGUAUUAAUUCACUUAAUUCUCAUAACCAUGCUAUGAGGUACCUGUUAUUGUCAAUUAGCUAAAGGGUACAAAGUUUGAAAAGAUAAUUUGGCCAUGUGUGGUGGCUCAUGUCUGUAAUCCCAGCACUUUGGGAGGCUGAAGAGGGAGGAUUGCUUGAGCUCAGGAGUUUGAGACCAGCCUGGGCAAUGUAGGGAGACACCAUCUCUACCAAAAAUUAGACAAAAUUAGUCAGGCAUGGUGGCGUGCACCUGUGGUCCCAGCUACUCAGAAGGCUGAGGCAGGAGGAGUGCUUGAUCCUGGGAGAUCGAGGCUGCAGUGAGCCACGAUCAUGCUACUGUACUCCAGCCUGGGUAACAUAGCAAGACUCUGUCUC